rnacentral:rRNA from 1 species
CCUACGGGGGGCAGCAGUGGGGAAUGUUGCACAAUGGGGGAAACCCUGAUGCAGCAACGCCGCGUGAGCGAUGAAGGCCUUCGGGUCGUAAAGCUCUGUCCUAAGGGAAGAAUACUGACGGUACCUUAGGAGGAAGCCCCGGCUAACUACGUGCCAGCAGCCGCGGUAAUACGUAGGGGGCGAGCGUUAUCCGGAAUUACUGGGCGUAAAGGGUGCGUAGGCGGCCGUUAAAGUCAGGGGUGAAAGGCUACGGCUCAACCGUAGUAAGCCUUUGAAACUGUAGGGCUUGAGUGCAGGAGAGGAGAGCGGAAUUCCUGGUGUAGCGGUGAAAUGCGUAGAUAUCAGGAGGAACACCAGUGGCGAAGGCGGCUCUCUGGACUGUAACUGACGCUGAGGCACGAAAGCGUGGGGAGCAAACAGGAUUAGAUACCCGAGUAGUC